ACUACGGGAGGCAGCAGUGGGGAAUAUUGGGCAAUGGGCGCAAGCCUGACCCAGCAACGCCGCGUGAAGGAAGAAGGCUCUCUGGUUGUUAACUUCUUUUAAGAUGGAAGUGCAGAAGACGGUACCUCUUGAAUUGUCUCCGUCUUACUACUUGCCAGCAGCCGCGGUAAUACGUAGGGAGCGAGCUUUUUCCGGAUUUACUGGGUGUAAAGGGCGUACAGCCGGGAGUACAAGUCAGAUGUGAAAUCCUGCGGCUCAACCGCGGAACUGCAUUUGAGACUGGAUUUCUUGAGUACUGGAGAGGCAGACGGAAUUCCUGGUGUAGCGGUGAAAUGCGUAGAUAUUAGGAGGAACACCAGUGGCGAAGGCGGUCUGCUGGACAGCAACUGACGGUGAGGCGCGAAAGCGUGGGGAGCAAACAGGAUUAGAUACCCCAGUAGUC
rnacentral:rRNA from 1 species